AAUGUUUUUUUAAAAAAAAAACAACGAUACCAAAAUAAGGAAAAUCACAUUUGUUCAAUGCUUUCUCAAUUCAGUUUAUUUAUCUAACACAUUUAAUGAAAGGGAAGUCAACUGAGCGUUAUUGUCAUUCUGCUACAUGUAGGAACAUACAGUGGAACAAAAUGUUAUAUCUCUAAGGCUCUAAGGACCAAAUUACACAACAGAAAAUACUUUUUAAUUGUAUACAACUAACAAAGUAUAUAGCACAUGAUUACAUAAAGUAAAAAAAAUAGUAUAACAUUUUAAGACAAUAGUCUGAUUCUCGCAGCACUCCUAGACCUUAACCACUGUACAUAGUGGCAUGACUACAGUAACUUUUUCUGUUGUUUUGCUUAAAUGCACAGUGGAUGUAUUUAACACACAUCUUCCAGCAAUGCGCUCAACAGGGAGAAAUGAUGCUGGGUAUCAGAUGUCUUUCCCCACAAACUCCAAAUUUCUAUGGGUUUUUCAUAAAAAUGACGGUCUGGAUGGGGAUGAAGCCAAGAGACUUGUGUAAUGACAUGUUUAAAUUAUUACCUUUUGACACAACAUGUACAACAAUAAACCUCUUGAUAAUAGCCAGCUGUGGUUCUGCUACAGGGUCAAUGGUGGGUUACCAUUUUGCAUGUCUUGGCAAAACAGUCAAUUACAGUUGAGAUUUUCAGGGUACAUUUGAUGUUACAUGGUCAACAUAGCAUUUCUGUCAUCCUCAUCCAAGAUUAUUUGCUGGAAUGGAGACAGAGGCUCCACUGUACAGUUUUUUUUACACAACAGUGUACCUUUACUUUGCAAUGCGAGAAACAGAUACAUAAAUAAAGACACAGGGCCAGUGAAAUAAAAUAAAAAAUAAAAUUUAAAUAAUUAUUGCAAUUUAGAUCAACUUAUAUUUAUUUCAAUUAAAAUGAAAACACAUUAUGGAGCUAGGGCUUCUGAUUUAAAUCAUAUUCUGCUAUUAUGGAGAGAAGAUUGAUGCCAUUCUUGUUUUUCAUAUUACUAAGGGUUUUAGUGUAAGAAACAAAAUCAUUAUGAAAUGCACAGAACCUGCGUUUCACUUUUAUCGAUUUUGAUUUGUGUAUGAAAAAUUUCCCCAGCAUAAGUAUAUUAUUAACCAGAUAAUCAUCAUUCUUAUUGCUCAUAACCAGCCCAUAGAUAAUGUCCUGUAAGGAAAAGUACUCAAGAUGAGGUACUUUUGAGUAAAGCCAAUUACAAAUAUCCAGCCACAACGCACCAACAUGUUUCAGAAUCAUCAGAAAAUACACAUGAAUUGGUUACAAUUCCAAAUCUUUUUUGUACAAAUUCCACUGUACAGUUUAAUGCUCUCCGAGCGCUUCCUGGUUACGUCACUUCGCAUGUGAUGAGGCUCGGCCAUCAGGUGCUAGGUCACGGUGACGCAGUAUGUUCCUCCAAUCACAGACGAGGAAACGAGACAAAGCGCGGAACCAAAACAUACAAACAGAGAUGUUACUCUUUCCUGGAAUUCGCUUACCGUUUUCAUUUUUACCUCCGCUCUUUAUAUUUACCUCGCUCUUUACAUUUUCUUAGCUGUUUACAAUGGCUCGCCAAGGAACUGAAGAGGAAGAGGCGGCUGCACAAUCCUAAAAUCGUGGAGGCAGUCCGUCGGCUAACUCUAAGGCAAACUGUAGGCGAUAUGACCCGGAGCAAGGAAUAAGCUCGCCAUAUAAUGAGACGGUCUCCUCAUUUUAGUGGGAGCACUGUCCAUAAGCCCGGAAUUGCGCGAUGAAGGCCUGGAUAAAAAUGACUUUGUUGUUGCCUGCAAGACAUACUACGAGACAUAUACUGCAUAGAAAUUUCCGGUACAGCCAGCCAGAGCUAGCAAAUGUGGCUACAGCUAAUAAGACCUCAGCCCAGAGUUGCCGGAGGAGGAAGAGGCUCUUGGAGGCGAGGCAAAGUGUACUGGCUACGGAUGAAGUGGACUUCUGGAGGGGAAUCACCGCUGACAUGAUGUCAGAUGAAUAAGACGGUGCCAUUGAUGGAGUCUUAGGGUGGAUUGUGUGACCUCCAUCGUUCCGCAGCCAGGAGCUCAGCAAUCUGUGUACUAAGCUGCAGGAGAAACUAGAAGCCAGUUCAAAGUGUGCAGCACUGCAUCACUGGCGUCUGUGAACUGGGCUUCUGUCUAACAGAAUGCCACCGCAUACCUACGACCCCGAGGCAGCAAAAAGACAUUUGAUGCCAAACAUGAUGCCAUGAAAAUAAUCUCUGGCUACUUUUUGUCUAUUUAAUAAAAUAAAACUCUUACAUUUAAUCAA